UCGGCCUCGGCCUGGCCUCCGCCGCGCCUCGCCGCGCCGCGCCUAGAGGAAGAGGAAAUGCCUAGCGGCGGACUGCCGCCGCUCGCCUGCGCGGCCCAUGGGGCCCCCGCACGUCCCCAACCCACGCCUGAGGCCUGCCUGAGUCCAUGCUGAUCCUCCAGGCAGCAACCACAGAAUUCAUCAGUCUCUAGGAUCCAGAAGUGUUGACAACAACACCUGGGGCCCAUUGCAACUUCCUGUGACCCUAUCUCUUGAACCAGUGCUAGAGGCAGGGAACCAGGAGAGACUAUAUAAACUGGGCAUCCUGGUGCAUGCCUUGUAAUCGUUAUGACUCAGGAGACCAAGGCAGGAGAUUUCCAAGAUAGAGACCACCAUCUACCUCUGCCAUGCUGUUCAGGUUGCUGAUGGCUAGUGUCCAUUUUUUAUUGUCCUGUAUCCCUGAAACAUCCCUGCAGUAUGCUUGGAUACCCUUUGAUUUCUCCUUUGCCAAGAACCCUCUCCAGGCCAGGUCCUAAAGCAGGAAGAGGACUCAUGCACUUUCACAGCCAUAGCAGGAAGAAAACUAUACAUAGAUAAAUACACACCACACACAUGAAGGCCUGCUAAGCAAGAACUCUACCACUGAAAUAUACCUCCAGCUCAAGUCAUCUUUAUAAGAAACUCCAAGAUAAAACAUUUAUUUCUGAUUUUAAUACCAAGAAGAGUUGUCUUAGUCCAUUUUCUGCUGCUAUGACAGAAUACCACAGACUGGGUGACAACCAACGCUACAAGUUCAUUUGUCUUAUGAUUCUGGAGGUUAGGAAGUCCAACAGCACUGUGUGGAAAUUUGUGCUUUGUCAUAAUCUGGCAAAAGGGCCAGCAAGCAUGUAUAAGCCAGGGAGAGGGUAAGAAGGAGAUAUACUAACCCACGCCCACAAUAAUGACAUUAAUCCAUUCAUGAAAGCAGAGGCUUCUUGAUCCAAUCUCUCAUAGAUUUUUUUUGACCUCAAUAUUAUGAUGGCAAUUAAAUUUCAAUAUAAGUUUUGGAGGGAACAUUCUAAGAUUUAAGAAUCUGUCUUCAUCUCACAGAUAGGUGAAUCAUGCAUGUAGCAAAGCAGAUAUUCCUUUUAACAGAGGCUGUUAAGCUGUUUGGAACCAGAUAAUAUGGCCCAGCUCUGGUAAACGUUGAGUUCUUUAGGCUCUGAAGUUUUGAGCCCCAUUCUGGCUUGACACUACUUUAUUUUGCCUCAGUCUUAAUUUCUGUCUUUGUUGUGGUUUGGAUAUGAGGUAUCCCCCAAAACCUCCUGUGUUAAUGCAGGAAUGUAUGGAAGUGAAUUUGAAUUGUGAGAAUUGUAACCUAAUUGUACUCAUUUGAAUGGACUGAGUGGUAACUGUAGGCUGUUGGGGCAUAGCUGGAGAAGGUGGGUCACUAGAAACACUCCCUGAGAGGGCUGUUCUUUCCUGAGACCCCUUCUCCCGACUCUCUCUGCUUUGGAACUGCUGUGAGCUAAGCAUCUCCCGCACCCCUACUGUGCUCUUCAACCAUGAUGUGCUGCUUCUAUGGACUGAGACCUCUGAAACUAUAAGCCCCAAAUAAACUUUUCUUCCUCUAA